GUUAGUUCCUGUGCCCACUUCAACACAUAUUAGAAUUGGAACAAUACAGAUUAGCAAGGCCCUUGUGCAAACAUAAUAGACAUUCAUAAAGCACUUUAUAUUUCU
rnacentral:snRNA from 1 species